rnacentral:rRNA from 1 species
UAGUCCACGCCGUAAACUAUGAUUACUCGUUUUCAGCGAUAUACUGUUGGAGACUAAGCGAAAGUGAUAAGUAACCCACCUGGGGAGUACGUUCGCAAGAAUGAAACUCAAAGGAAUUGACGGGGGCCCGCACAAGCGGUGGAGCAUGUGGUUUAAUUCGAUGAUACGCGAGGAACCUUACCAGGGCUUAAAUGCAGUUGGACAGGGGUGGAAACACCCCCUUCUUCGGACUGAUUGCAAGGUGCUGCAUGGUUGUCGUCAGCUCGUGCCGUGAGGUGUCAGGUUAAGUCCUAUAACGAGCGCAACCCCUGUGGUUAGUUGCCAGCGAGUAAUGUCGGGAACUCUAGCCAGACUGCCGGUGCAAACCGUGAGGAAGGUGGGGAUGACGUCAAAUCAUCACGGCCCUUACGUCCUGGGCUACACACGUGCUACAAUGGUAGGUACAGAGAGCAGCCACCCCGCGAGGGUGAGCCAAUCUCAGAAAGUGUAUCUCAGUUCGGA